CCGAACUCAACGGGGUGCCGCGCUCAUGCGCGCGCUGAGAAAAUACCCGUCGAACCUGAUCCGGAUAAUGCCGGCGAAGGGAUUUGAGGCUACCUCUCAA
rnacentral:ncRNA from 21 species